rnacentral:rRNA from 1 species
CCUACGGGAGGCUGCAGUAGGGAAUAUUGCUCAAUGGGGGAAACCCUGAAGCAGCAACGCCGCGUGAAGGAAGAAGGCUUUCGGGUUGUAAACUUCCUUUGUCAGGGACGAAGCAAGUGACGGUACCUGACGAAUAAGCCACGGCUAACUACGUGCCAGCAGCCGCGGUAAUACGUAGGUGGCAAGCGUUAUCCGGAUUUAUUGGGUGUAAAGGGCGUGUAGGCGGGAAUGCAAGUCAGAUGUGAAAACUAUGGGCUCAACCCAUAGCCUGCAUUUGAAACUGUAUUUCUUGAGUGCUGGAGAGGCAAUCGGAAUUCCGGGUGUAGCGGUGAAAUGCGUAGAUAUACGGAGGAACACCAGUGGCGAAGGCGGAUUGCUGGACAGUAACUGACGCUGAGGCGCGAAAGCGUGGGGAGCAAACAGGAUUAGAUACCCGGGUAGUC